rnacentral:rRNA from 1 species
CCUACGGGGGGCUGCAGUUGGGAAUCUUGCACAAUGGGGGAAACCCUGAUGCAGCGACGCCGCGUGGAGGAAGAAGGUUCUAGGCUCGUAAACUCCUUUUUCAGGGAAAGACUUAGGACGGUCCCCUGAGAAUAAGCUCCGGCUAACUACGUGCCAGCAGCCGCGGUAAGCCGUAGGGAGCGAGCGUUGUCCGGAUUUACUGGGCGUAAAGAGCACGUAGGCGGUCGGUUAAGUGAGAGGUGAAAUCCCCAGCGCUCAACGCGGGAACGGCUUUUCAUACUGGCAGACUUGAGGGAUGCAGAGGAAAGUAGAAUUCCUGGUGUACCGGUGAAAUGGGUUGAUAUAAGGAGGAAUACCAAUGGCGAAGGCAGCUUGCUGGGCAUCAUCUGACGCUGAGGUGCGAAAGCGUGGGUAGCAAACAGGAUUAGAUACCCGAGUAGUC